rnacentral:rRNA from 1 species
UAGGGAAUCUUCCGCAAUGGCCGUAAGUCUGACGGAGCAACGCCGCGUGAGUGAAGAAGGAUUUCGGUUCGUAAAACUCUGUUGUUAGAGAAGAACAGCGCAUAGAGUAACUGUUAUGCGUGUGACGGUAUCUAACCAGAAAGGGACGGCUAACUACGUGCCAGCAGCCGCGGUAAUACGUAGGUCCCGAGCGUUGUCCGGAUUUCUUGGGCGUAAAGCGAGCGCAGGCGGUUAGAUAAGUCUGAAGUUAAAGGCAGUGGCUCAACCAUUGUAGGCUUUGGAAACUGUUUAACUUGAGUGCAGAAGGGGAGAGUGGAAUUCCAUGUGUAGCGGUGAAAUGCGUAGAUAUAUGGAGGAACACCGGUGGCGAAAGCGGCUCUCUGGUCUGUAACUGACGCUGAGGCUCGAAAGCGUGGGGAGCGAACAGG